rnacentral:rRNA from 1 species
GAUGAACGCUAGCGGUGUGCUUAAAGCAUGCAAGUCGAACGUGAUCCUUGGAUUCGUUCAAGGUGAAAGUGGCGAACGGGUGAGUAACGCGUUGGUGAUCUGCCCCGGAGUGGGGAAUAACUAUCGGAAACGAUAGCUAAUACCCCAGAUGUCUUCGUGUUUGGAAAGCGAUGACUAAAGUUCAGGCGCUCCGGGAGGAGCCUGCGUCCCAUCAGCUAGUUGGUAGGGUAAUGGCCUACCAAGGCACAGACGGGUAGGGGGCGUGAGAGCGUGGCCCCCCACACUGGUACUGACACACGGACCAGAUGCCUACGGGUAGCAGCAGCUAGGAAUAUUGGGCAAUGGGCGAAAGCCUGACCCAGCAACACCGCGUGAAGGACGACGGCCUUC